rnacentral:miRNA from 1 species
UGAAGCUCUAAGGUUCCGCCUGC